rnacentral:rRNA from 1 species
GACGAACGCUGGCGGCGUGCUUAACACAUGCAAGUCGAACGGAAAGGCCCUGCUUGCAGGGUCCUCGAGUGGCGAACGGGUGAGUAACACGUGGGUGAUCUGCCCUGCACUUCGGGAUAAGCCUGGGAAACUGGGUCUAAUACCGGAUAGGAGCCAUUUUUAGUGUGAUGGUUGGAAAGUUUUUUCGGUGUAGGAUGAGCUCGCGGCCUAUCAGCUUGUUGGUGGGGUAAUGGCCUACCAAGGCGGCGACGGGUAGCCGGCCUGAGAGGGUGGACGGCCACAUUGGGACUGAGAUACGGCCCAGACUCCGACGGGAGGCAGCAGUGGGGAAUAUUGCACAAUGGGCGCAAGCCUGAUGCAGCGACGCCGCGUGGGGGAUGACGGCCUUCGGGUUGUAAACUCCUUUCGCUAGGGACGAAGCUUUUUGUGACGGUACCUAGAGAAGAAGCACCGGCUAACUACGUG